rnacentral:rRNA from 1 species
AUAUCAAUAAGCGGAGGAAAAGAAACUAACAAGGAUUCCCCUAGUAACUGCGAGUGAAGCGGGAUGAGCUCAAAUUUAAAAUCUGGCGUCUUUGGCGUCCGAGUUGUAACCUAUAGAAGCGUUUUCGGCCGCCGGAUGUGGACAAGUCCCUUGGAACAGGGCGUCAUAGAGGGUGAGAAUCCCGUACUUGCCACAACACCGUGUGUCUAUGUGAUACGCUUUCAAAGAGUCGAGUUGUUUGGGAAUGCAGCUCAAAAUGGGUGGUAAAUUCCAUCUAAAGCUAAAUAUUGGCGAGAGACCGAU